AUACACAUAGAUGUGUGUGUAUAUUAUAUAUACACAUAGAUGUGUGUGUAUAUAUAUUGCACAGGGAUUAAAGAUAGUUAUUUAGCAUUAUCUCUCGACAGAAAAUGUGCUUACUCAGUAGUACAUGGCAGCAUUGAUUGGAUAGUGGAAAUUGAAAAUCAUCUAUACGUCCAUUACCAGAGGACUGGUUAUAUUAACUAUGGUAUAUUCCUGUAAUAUUUAAAAAAUCCAUGAUCUUUGGUGAAAAAAGCACAGAAUAGACCAAUUACAGCAUGAUUCCUCUUGUUAAAAGAAAAAAGGUAGCAUAGUGAUUAAGAGCGUGUCUCCUGGAGCCAGAAUGCUUGCAUUUGAAUCCCAGCUCCGCCACAUAUUUUCUUUGUGAUUAACCUUUCUUUGCCUCAGCUUCCUUAUUUAUAAAAUGGAGAUAAUGGAACCUAUUUAGUAGAGUUUUUAGGAAGAUGAAAAUAAUUUCAUAAAAUACUUAGAAUUGUAGUGGGACAGAUUAAAUUCUGUAUAUGUGUUUAGAAAACAUAUUCAUUCAUUUGUUCCACAACUAUUCAUUGAGUGCUCACACACUAGACAUUGAUUUACGGUCAUGGAAUAAGUACAUCAGACAACAAGUCAAGUCAAGUCUUUGCCUCAUGGAGCUAACAUUCUAAGAGGAGAAACAUGCAGUAAACAAGUAAAGAAAUGUAUGCUCUAUUCAGGGAGUAGUUUGUGCUAUGAGGAAAAGCAAAACAGGUUGAAGAGAUAGCUAUGUGGUGGGAGUGGGACUAUUUCGUACAGGGCACUGAUUGUAGACCUCUGAUGAGAUAACAUUUGACAAGAGAUCUGCAGGGAGCUAUGUGUCAUGGGGGAAGGCAUUGGAGGGUUUUGUGCAGGA
rnacentral:lncRNA from 1 species